GGAGACAGUGGGUCAGGUCGUGCACAGGACGCCUCAGGUCUCUAGCUCGCAGGGACCCAAAGAAAUCAACCGAUGAAAUCGGGAAACGUCUGGCCGAAUCCCAUUACACCUGCCGUAGAGAGUUGUGCGUGUGCCCCGUCGCCCAGGAGGGCCACCCUGGACCCAGGGAGAGAGUGGCCGCACAGAGUUCAUGUGAAGCAGAGCCUGGAGAUGGCCUGGGAAGGCCUCCUUCACCGCCCUGGCCCCUCCAGAGGGUGCUGGUUCACGGGUCCUGGGAUCAGGACCCGGAGCCCCCGGAGGCAGAGCCCGAGGAUUCCGGGGCAGGAGCAGAAGCCGGUGCGGCUCCAGAGCCCGAACCAAGGGCAUCGGGG